ACUCCUGCGGGAGGCAGCAGUGGGGAAUAUUGCACAAUGGGCGCAAGCCUGAUGCAGCCAUGCCGCGUGUAUGAAGAAGGCCUUCGGGUUGUAAAGUACUUUCAGCGGGGAGGAAGGCGAUAAGGUUAAUAACCUUGUUGAUUGACGUUACCCGCAGAAGAAGCACCGGCUAACUCCGUGCCAGCAGCCGCGGUAAUACGGAGGGUGCAAGCGUUAAUCGGAAUUACUGGGCGUAAAGCGCACGCAGGCGGUCUGUCAAGUCGGAUGUGAAAUCCCCGGGCUCAACCUGGGAACUGCAUUCGAAACUGGCAGGCUAGAGUCUUGUAGAGGGGGGUAGAAUUCCAGGUGUAGCGGUGAAAUGCGUAGAGAUCUGGAGGAAUACCGGUGGCGAAGGCGGCCCCCUGGACAAAGACUGACGCUCAGGUGCGAAAGCGUGGGGAGCAAACAGGAUUAGAAACCCCUGUAGUCCCA
rnacentral:rRNA from 1 species